CGGGCGUUAAGUUGCAGGGUAUAGACCCGAAACCCGGUGAUCUAGCCAUGGGCAGGUUGAAGGUUGGGUAACACUAACUGGAGGACCGAACCGACUAAUGUUGAAAAAUUAGCGGAUGACCUGUGGCUGGGGGUGAAAGGCCAAUCAAACCGGGAGAUAGCUGGUUCUCCCCGAAAGCUAUUUAGGUAGCGCCUCGUGAAUUCAUCUCCGGGGGUAGAGCACUGUUUCGGCUAGGGGGCCAUCCCGGCUUACCAACCCGAUGCAAACUGCGAAUACCGGAGAAUGUUAUCACGGGAGACACACGGCGGGUGCUAACGUCCGUCGUGAAGAGGGAAACAACCCAGACCGCCAGCUAAGGUCCCAAAGUCAUGGUUAAGUGGGAAACGAUGUGGGAAGGCCCAGACAGCCAGGAUGUUGGCUUAGAAGCAGCCAUCAUUUAAAGAAAGCGUAAUAGCUCACUGGUCGAGUCGGCCUGCGCGGAAGAUGUAACGGGGCUAAACCAUGCACCGAAGCUGCGGCAGCGAC
rnacentral:rRNA from 2 species